GGAUGUGAAGGCUAUCUGACUGUCAGCCUAUUGAUUACCAGUGUUGAUUUGGCUGAUCUGGGUGGCUAGACAGGUGUCCCUUUCCUCUCUCUCUGUUCUACAUGCAUUCCCCCCUGAAGCUGCACUCUUCAGUCAGAGAAGACAACCUUUCCCUAUACAGAGGGACUGUUCUUCAAUCGAGGGUUUACAGGUAGCUGUGCUCCCUGUUGGAACCUCCAGACAAACUCCCCAGAGGAAAGGGUUAUUUUGAGGUUAUCCCUGGUUGGUGGGCCCCAUUGCUUUAGGGCCUGCGUGGUGAGGAGGGCUCUGAAG
rnacentral:snRNA from 1 species